rnacentral:rRNA from 1 species
AACGAACGCUGGCGGCAUGCCUAACACAUGCAAGUCGAACGGGAUCCGAGCUUCGGUUCGGUGAGAGUGGCGGACGGGUGAGUAACGCGUGGGAACCUGCCCAGUGGUGGGGGAUAACUGCGGGAAACUGCAGCUAAUACCGCAUGAGCCCGAGAGGGGAAAGAUUUAUCGCCAUUGGAGGGGCCCGCGUUCGAUUAGGUAGUUGGUGAGGUAACGGCUCACCAAGCCUUCGAUCGAUAGCUGGUCUGAGAGGAUGAUCAGCCACACUGGGACUGAGAUACGGCCCAGACUCCUACGGGAGGCAGCAGUGGGGGAAUAUUGGACAAUGGGGGGCAACCCUGAUCCAGCAAUGCCGCGUGAGUGAUGAAGGCCUCGGGUUGUAAAGCUCUUUUGUCCAGGACGAUGAUGACGGUACCUGGAGAAUAAGCCCCGGCUAACUUCGUGCCAGCAGCCGCGGUAAU